AUAUGCAUCACAUGGGGAUUUGUUUAAAAUGUAGACUCUGAUCAGUAGGUCUGGGAUGAACUCUGAUUUUCUGCAUUUGUAACAAGCUCCCAUGUGACAUCGAA
rnacentral:miRNA from 1 species